AGAAGGCAAGCUGAGGAGAAACAAUAACCAGAAAUCCUCAAUGGUAGUUGCUGAGAAAAGAAAGGUGUCUGUGUGGUUUAACUUGCAAAAAUAUACGUGGGGAGAAGUGCUAGUGACAGCGAGCAAAGAAAAGGGGAUGGGCAAUGGCAAACGAGGAAGAAGGUCACAGUGAAGAUGCUCAGAGGAAAAGGCAGAAAUAACUGAAAAGCCAUGGGAAAACUCACUCUUUCCAUUCCCAUUGCCACUCAUCACCAACAAACAAGACUUUGCCUCCUGUACCUCUAGGACCCAGGCUGCCAACAUGGACCAAUGGAGCAUGAUAACCUGAUGCAGAGAACAUACCUUGAAGUGAGUGACUUUCAUGGAGUGUGUGACAUUCAGAUGCCACUACCUCAUGCCUUCCGACUUAGGUCCACACUGCUGCUGAUCUUCGAGUCCCAGAGUCUCAGGCUGCCCUUCAGAACACAAAAUGGCAAAAGGCAAUUUAUUGUUGUUCAUAAACUGAAAAAGAUGUUUGGUAUUACAGUUUCUGUUUAUUAAAAACCAGUUAUUAAAAGACCCCUGCUGCUGUGAAGUGCAUUCGCUAAGGUUAAGAAGGUCCAGCAGAUCCCAGCAGUUUUCAAGAGAGAGGAAUGUAUGGUAUCCAAAGGCAAUAGCUGUGCUAAGCUGAGGGAAAUCCGCAGUUUUCAGAAAGGAAUGAAGACUUCUGUGAAUUUCACACAAUAUUCUGUACAGAAAAGUAUUUCUAAGGAACAGGUGAUGCUGCUCUCUUAAACAAGUAUUCGCAAGAGGAGGACUAUUUAAAUUGCUUUCUCUGUUGAAGAGCAGUAGUAUUUUUCAGGGCUGAUCCUGAAUUCUUAGCAAAUUGCCUUGGAUGCCUAAUAAACUGUUGAUGAAGGUGGAUUUAUUUAAUCUGUUAACCCACCACUUUCCACUAGUCUUCUAUGGCUGUGAAAUAAAGUUGGGAAUGUAC
rnacentral:lncRNA from 7 species